AUCGCUUUCAUCUUCAUCGUUUUAAGUUGAGGCAACCAAAUUGCAUUUGUCUGUGGCAGCUACAAGAGGAUAUUUAUUUUUAAGUUGAUCUCAUCUUCUCAUUCUCAGAAAUUGAUGAAUGAAUAGAAGAUGCACAAUCCAAGCUGUGGCCAAGAAGUCCAAGAUCAUACGCAUGUGAGAUUGGGGAUAAUCACCCACCUAUGAAGACAGCAGUAGGAUGCUCAUUAAGACUCAGUCGACAACACUUUUAGGUAAAGUUCACGCUGUUUGGAAAGCACGUUUCAUGCCUGGUGUCAAAACCUCCAAAAGCACAUGGAAAAGUAAAGGAGCCGGUCCAUGCGCUCAUAGGUCUGCGCUACACUGAAAAUGCUAAGUUAUGUUUGCACCAGGACAAUAAAAUCCUACUCAGCAAUAAAGGAGAAGAAGCUAUUGACAAACAUGACAACGUGGGCAAAUCUCAAAGGCAGGAUGCUGGGGGAAAGAGGACAGGCUCGAAAGGUUAAAUACUGCCUGGGUCCAUUUACGUGACUUUCUGGAAAAGGCAAGACUGGAGCGGGAGCAGAAUCACUUGCUCUGGGAGAGCUGACGCCAUGUCAGGAGGACACUCAAGCAGGCCUGUGGAGAAGGACGUGUGGAGAGGAACGAGGCCUCCUCACAACAGCCAGCAUCACGUUUCCAUCUGGAUGAGUGAGCCGUCCUGGAAACGGAUCCUCCAGCCCCAGUGACGCCUUCCCAUGACCGCAGCCCUGGCCGACAUCUUGACUGCAGCCUCAUGAGAGACCUUGAGCCAGAAAUACCCAGUUAAACGGCUCCUGGAUUCCUGACCCACAGAAACUGUGUGAGAUAAACGCUUAUUGCUGUUUUAGGCUGCUAAAUUCUGGGGUAAUUUAUUA
rnacentral:lncRNA from 1 species